UACGUAGGGGGCUAGCGUUGUCCGGAAUCAUUGGGCGUAAAGAGCGUGUAGGCGGCCCGGUAAGUCCGCUGUAAAAGUCAAAGGCUUAACCUUUGAAUGUCAGUGGAUACUGCCGGGCUAGAGUCCGGAAGAGGCGAGUGGAACUCCUGGUGUAGCGGUGGAAUGCGCAGAUAUCAGGAAGAACACCAACGGCGAAGGCAGCUCGCUGGGACGGUACUGACGCUGAGACGCGAAAGCGUGGGGAGCGAACAGG
rnacentral:rRNA from 1 species